rnacentral:rRNA from 1 species
UACGGAGGGUGCAAGCGUUACUCGGAAUCACUGGGCGUAAAGGACGCGUAGGCGGAUUAUCAAGUCUCUUGUGAAAUCCUAUGGCUUAACCAUAGAACUGCUUGGGAAACUGAUAAUCUAGAGUGAGGGAGAGGCAGAUGGAAUUGGUGGUGUAGGGGUAAAAUCCGUAGAGAUCACCAGGAAUACCCAUUGCGAAGGCGAUCUGCUGGAACUCAACUGACGCUAAUGCGUGAAAGCGUGGGGAG